rnacentral:tRNA from 1 species
GCGCCCUUCGUCUAGCGGUUAGGACGCCGCCCUUUCACGGCGGUAACACGGGUUCGAGUCCCGUAGGGCGUA